rnacentral:misc_RNA from 1 species
GGAAGCGGAUGCGGGAAAACCGCACCUCCGGAUUUGUGCGGGGGGAACCCGGUAACGGGCGUUCCUACCGCGAG